UUCUACGGCCAUGCCACCCUGAACAAGCCAGAUCCCGUCUGAUCUUAGAAGCUAAGCAGGGUUGGGCCUGGUUAGUACUUGGAUGGGAGACCACCUAGGAAGACGAGGUGCCAUAGGUA
rnacentral:rRNA from 1 species